AGUGAACGCUGGCGGCAGGCCUAACACAUGCAAGUCGAGCGGCAGCGGGUCCCCCGCGAGGGGAUGCCGGCGAGCGGCGGACGGGUGAGGAACACAUCGGAAUCUGCCUGGUUGUGGGGGAUAACGUAGGGAAACUUACGCUAAUACCGCAUGCGACCCUGAGUCGACGGACGUGGGGGUGAAAGUGAGGGACCUUCGGCCUCACGCGACCAGAUGAGCCGAUGUCGGAUAGCUAGUUGGCGGGGUAACGGCCCGCCAAGGCGACGAUCCGUAGCUGGUCUGAGAGGAUGAUCA
rnacentral:rRNA from 1 species